rnacentral:rRNA from 1 species
UCUGACGGAGCAACGCCGCGUGAGUGAUGAAGGUUUUCGGAUCGUAAAGCUCUGUUGUUAGGGAAGAACAAGUGCAAGAGUAACUGCUUGCACCUUGACGGUACCUAACCAGAAAGCCACGGCUAACUACGUGCCAGCAGCCGCGGUAAUACGUAGGUGGCAAGCGUUGUCCGGAAUUAUUGGGCGUAAAGGGCUCGCAGGCGGUUUCUUAAGUCUGAUGUGAAAGCCCCCGGCUCAACCGGGGAGGGUCAUUGGAAACUGGGAAACUUGAGUGCAGAAGAGGAGAGUGGAAUUCCACGUGUAGCGGUGAAAUGCGUAGAGAUGUGGAGGAACACCAGUGGCGAAGGCGACUCUCUGGUCUGUAACUGACGCUGAGGAGCGAAAGCGUGGGGAGCGAACAGGAUUAGAUACCCUGGUAGUCCACGCCGUAAACGAUGAGUGCUAAGUGUUAGGGGGUUUCCGCCCCUUAGUGCUGCAGCUAACGCAUUAAGCACUCCGCCUGGGGAGUACGGUCGCAAGACUGAAACUCAAAGGAAUUGACGGGGGCCCGCACAAGCGGUGGAGCAUGUGGUUUAAUUCGAAGCAACGCGAAGAACCUUACCAGGUCUUGACAUCCUCUGACAACCCUAGAGAUAGGGCUUUCCCUUCGGGGACAGAGUGACAGUGGUGCAUGGUUGUCGUCAGCUCGUGUCGUGAGAUGUUGGGUUAAGUCCCGCAACGAGCGCAACC